UACGUAGGGGGCUAGCGUUGUCCGGAUUUAUUGGGCGUAAAGAGCGUGUAGGCGGCCUGGAAGGUCAGCUGUGAAAACUCGAGGCUCAACCUCGAGACGUCGGUUGAAACCACCUGGCUAGAGUCCGGAAGAGGAGAGUGGAAUUCCCGGUGUAGCGGUGAAAUGCGCAGAUAUCGGGAAGAACACCCGUGGCGAAGGCGGCUCUCUGGGACGGUACUGACGCUGAGACGCGAAAGCGUGGGGAGCGAACAGG
rnacentral:rRNA from 1 species